UUACAUUUGAGUGAGUGGCGAACUGGUGAGUAACACGUGGGAAACCUGCCCAGAAGCGGGGGAUAACACCUGGAAACAGAUGCUAAUACCGCAUAACAACUUGGACCGCAUGGUCCGAGUUGAAAGAUGGCUUCGCUAUCACUUUUGGAUGGUCCCGCGGCGUAUUAGCUAGAUGGUGGGUAACGGCUCACCAUGGCAAUGAUACGUAGCCGACCUGAGAGGGUAAUCGGCCACAUUGGGACUGAGACACGGCCCAAACUCCUACGGGAGGCAGCAGUAGGGAAUCUUCCACAAUGGACGAAAGUCUGAUGGAGCAACGCCGCGUGAGUGAAAAGGGUUUCGGCUCGUAAAACUCUGUU
rnacentral:rRNA from 1 species